AGUCUCGCCGUCCAGAGGGAUUCGCCGAUUUGGUGUUCGUGGAAAGCUUAGUCCACGGUUUGUUGGCCCUUUCGAGGUAUUAGAGCGUGUUGGACCGGUUGCAUACAGGAUAGCUUUACCCCCGCGACUUGCUGGCAUCCAUGAUGUAUUCCAUGUCUCGGCGCUGAGGAGAUAUGUAUUCGAUCCAUCUCACGUGACUGACUUCACUCCACUAGAGAUUGGUGAGGAUCUGAGAUACGAGGAGCGACCGGUGCGGAUUCUUGCUCGUGAGACGAAAGAAUUGCGCAACCGGGUAAUUCCGUAUGUGAAGGUGCAGUGGAGCAACCACGAGGAGCGAGAGGCGACUUGGGAGCCCGAGACUGUGAUGAGGGAGUCCUACCCCGACCUGUUCGUUUCUCCGUGUUGAGAACCGAUUGUGAGCAAGGUGGAGUUCGGGUGGAGUUUCGUCGCCGACGUGGUGCCGCGGAGCCGUUCGGGCGCACGUUGUGUCGUAUUGGUGCUGUGAGGAGCUUGGGCGGGCGUGGAUUUCCGUCGUCCUCGACUUUGCGCCGACUCUUGAGGAUCUAUCGAGUAUUUUAGCUCGUACGCGACGUAGGAGCAUCGGAUUUCGACGAGAUUUGGUUCGUUGAAACCGAGACUUCGAGACGAAUCCAUAGGAUCCUUACUCGCCCGAUUUGGAGAAGGUUCCAGCGUCGACGUUUCGUAUUCUGGCCCGUUCUCUGCGUAGGAGCGUCGGAAUUCAGCGAAACCUGGACCAUUGGAUUCGUGACUUUGAGACGAAGCUUCAGAACCCUUGUUUGCUGAAUUUGGAUAAGCAGGAGAACCGGGGACUUCGACGGACCAGCGAGGGAUCAUUUUGGAUCCGGGCCACUUUCUUCGCUGCCAGGAGUUGCUUGAGAGGUGGGUUACAUCGGCUUUACUCCUAAGUUCUUAUUGGUCGACAUGUAUAGAUUUUGAUUUCGGUAAUUAAUGUUAGCUCAAAUUCAUGGAUUAAUUGUAGAUUGGUCAAUCUGAAUUUUGGAGCAUGUUUUAUAAAUUAAGUAGGUUAUACA